CUUCUGCCAAGCUAUAGAGCCGAUAAGGGAGCCCUUCUUGCCUCUUUGUUGCAUACACGAAAGGAGAGACAUGCCCAAAGACAGCAAAGCGCCGCCGUCGCCAUCACACGAGGAGCUACGCGUCCGCGCCUUAGAAGGGGAACACUUGAAGUUGUUGCAGCAACUCAUCAUGACUGCGUUACGGUGGACUCGUCAAAAGAGGGAAAUGCUCCAGGCGCUUGUCGAAUCCCUGGAAAAUCUGGAAUAGUCGCAUAUAGUGUGACUCCUCUCACUUUUUUUUUUUUUUUU
rnacentral:lncRNA from 1 species